AGAUUGAACGCUGGCGGCAUGCCUAACACAUGCAAGUCGAACGGGAGUAGCAAUACUCUAGUGGCGGACGGGUGAGGAAUACGUAGGAAUUUGCCCUUAAGUGGGGGAUAACCCGGGGAAACCCGGAUUAAUACCGCAUGACCUCGAAAGAGCAAAGUGGGGGAUCGCAAGACCUCACGCUUUUGGAGAAGCCUACGUCGGAUUAGCUAGUUGGUGAGGUAAUGGCUCACCAAGGCGACGAUCCGUAACUGGUCUGAGAGGAUGAUCAGUCACACCGGAACUGAGACACGGUCCGGACUCCUACGGGAGCAGCAGUGGGG
rnacentral:rRNA from 1 species